GUGUUCACUUCGGCAGCACUUAUAUUAAAAUUAGAAGGAUACAAAGAAGAUUANCAUGGUCCCUGUGCAAGGAUGAUAUGNAAAUUUGUGAAGCAUACUUUCUUUCU
rnacentral:snRNA from 1 species